GACAGUUUAAGGAGGUUUGAAUUGAAUAUGCGCCCAGAGGCGAGCGGUCUGCUUAGAAAUAGUGUUCUCAUAAGGCAUCCGAUCUGCACGGCUGAAGGAGCUACCGCUGGUGUCGGGUUAGGGCUCCGCACCCAAGAUUUCUUGCUGGUGCGACAGGGAGAGCGUUUCCAAAGAAGGAGCUGUCCACGCGCCCGGGUGCUGAACUGCGUUCAACCAUUUUGGAAUCGCGUCGGCUGCAGAGUAGAGCCUUUCGGUGCAACCCCGGGAAGAGACCUCGACAGGGGGGGAGAAGGAUGGCAAGCAAGUCCAGAUCAAGAAAGAAAAGAAAGUCAGGAGCCGCCUAGGCCCCUGGGAUCCAGCGGUCCUGCGUGGAUUUGGGAGCAGCGCUCACCCGGCCGGCGACAAUCUGUUGGAUUCUCCUCUGCCUCCGCCUCCCUUUGCUCCGAGCCACGGGACGUACAGUUGUGGAUUUAUUGUCGCGGUGCCAGCAUCUUCUUCGCUUCCUCCUCCUCUUCCUCCUCCUCCUCUUCCACCACCACCACCCCCAUCAGCCUUCUGACUCUCUUCGGUGACGGGUAUUCUUGGGUGGAUAAUACGGAUUACGUUGUUAUUGCUUAA
rnacentral:lncRNA from 1 species